rnacentral:rRNA from 1 species
UACAGAGGGUGCAAGCGUUAAUCGGAAUUACUGGGCGUAAAGCGUGCGUAGACGGUUAUUUAAGUCAGGUGUGAAAUCCCCGGGCUUAACCUGGGAAUGGCAUUUGGGACUGCAAGGCUUGAGUGCGGCAGAGGAGACUGGAAUUCCUGGUGUAGCAGUGAAAUGCGUAGAUAUCAGGAGGAAUACCGAUGGCGAAGGCAGGUCUCUGGGCUGACACUGACGCUCAUGCACGAAAGCGUGGGGAGCAAACGGG